rnacentral:rRNA from 1 species
GGGGGCAAGCGUUGUUCGGAAUUACUGGGCGUAAAGGGCCAGUAGGCGGCCAACUAAGUCACACGUGAAAUCCCCAGGCUUAACCUGGGAACUGCGUGUGAUACUGGAUGGCUUGAAUUCGGGAGAGGGAUGCAGAAUUCCAGGUGUAGCGGUGAAAUGCGUAGAUAUCUGGAGGAAUACCGGUGGCGAAGGCGGCAUCCUGGACCGACAUUGACGCUGAACGGCGAAAGCUAGGGGAGCAAACGGG